UCCAGACUCCUACGGGAGGCAGCAGUGGGGGAUAUUGCACAAUGGGGGGAACCCUGAUGCAGCGACGCCGCGUGGGUGAAGGAGCGUUUCGGCGCGUAAAGCCCUCUCGGCAGGGAAGAAGGAGGACGGUACCUGACUAAGAAGCCCCGGCUAACUACGUGCCAGCAGCCGCGGUAAUACGUAGGGGGCAAGCGUUAUCCGGAUUUACUGGGUGUAAAGGGGGCGCAGACGGCAGCGCAAGCCAGGAGUGAAAGCCCGGGGCCCAACCCCGGGACUGCUCUUGGAACUGCGCGGCUGGAGUGCAGGAGGGGCAGGCGGAAUUCCUGGUGUAGCGGUGAAAUGCGUAGAUAUCAGGAGGAACACCGGUGGCGAAGGCGGCCUGCUGGACUGCGACUGACGUUGAGGCCCGAAAGCGUGGGGAGCAAACAGGAUUAGAUACCCCUGUACA
rnacentral:rRNA from 1 species